CCUGGACCCGAAGCGGGAUGAUCUAGCCCUGGGCAGGUUGAAGCGCGGGUAAGACCGCGUGGAGGACCGAACCCACCUGGGUUGAAAACCGGGGGGAUGACCUGGGGCUAGGGGUGAAAGGCCAAUCAAAUUCCGUGAUAGCUGGUUCUCUCCGAAAUGCAUUUAGGUGCAGCGUCGGUUGAUUGCAUCGCGGGGGUAGAGCUACUGGAUGCUUGCGGGCCCGUGUCGGGUACCAAUAGCAGCCAAACUCCGAAUACCGUGGAUGUGUAUUCCGGCAGUGAGUCGGCGGGGGAUAAGCUCCGUCGUCGAGAGGGAGACAGCCCAGAUCGUCGUCUAAGGUCCCGAAGCGUGUGCUAAGUGGGAAAGGAUGUGGAGUCGCAUAGACAGCCAGGAGGUUGGCUCAGAAGCAGCCAUCCUUGAAAGAGUGCGUAACAGCUCACUGGUCUAGUGGUUCCGCGCCGACAAUGUAGCGGGGCUCAAGCACACCACCGAAGACGCGGCAACAGUUUUUGCUGUUGGGUAGGAGAGCGUCCCGCGUGGGGCGAAGCGGCCGGGGAACCGUGCCGUGGACCGCGCGGGAGUGAGAAUGCAGACAUGAGUAGCGAGAGACGGGUGAGGAUCCCGUCCGCUGGAUGACCAAGGGUUCCGGGGCCACGUUCGUCGUCCCCGGGUGAGUCGGGUCCUAAGGCGAGGCCGACAGGCGUAGUCGAAUGGAUGAACGGGUGGAUAUUCCCGUACCGGCGGCGUACCGUAAGAGCCGAACGGAUGAGUACUAACCUCCGGUCGCGUGGCGUCGUUCCCUUCGGGGUUCGGGGCGCGUGGCUGUUGGGAGCGUAGUCCUGGUAGGCUAGCGCACAGGGGUGACACGGAAUGGGAGCCGGCCGCGGAGGUGGUUUUCCGUGGUCAAGCACGCAGCCCGUCCCAUAGGCAAAUCCGUGGGACGCAUAGGGUGAGGUGUGAUGAUGGGCGUCCUUUGGACGCGAUAUCCGGUGGUCCAGGCCGUCGAGAAAAGCCUCGGCGCGAGGGGCGUCGCCGCCCGUACCCCAAACCGACACUGGUGGUCAGGUAGAGAAUACCAAGGCGAUCGAGCGAAUCCUGGUCAAGGAACUCGGCAAAUCACUCCCGUGCCUUCGGUAUAAGGGAGACCCCCGGGCGUGAAGAGGCUUGCCCUCGGAGCGUUGGGGGGUGGCACAGACCAGGGGGUAGCGACUGUUUACCAAAAACACAGGUGCAUGCGAAGGCGCAAGCCGCUGUAUAUGCACUGACGCCUGCCCGGUGCCGGAAGGUUAAGAGGAUCCGUCAGCCCCUUUUGGGGUGAAGCGGUGAAUUCAAGCCCCGGUAAACGGCGGUGGUAACUAUAACCAUCCUAAGGUAGCGAAAUUCCUUGUCGGGUAAGUUCCGACCUGCACGAAUGGCGUAA
rnacentral:rRNA from 1 species